rnacentral:rRNA from 1 species
AAAAAGCACGAGCCGGGAAUGGAAAGACCGGUACAAGCGAGGUAGGUGUACAAUAGGCAAAUCCGUUGUAUGAUCCGAAGACGUGAUGUGGAGCGAAAUAAAGUAGUGAAGCGUGUGAGCCAUGUGCCGAGAAAAGCUGCUAUUGUGUAAUGCGUGCCCGUACCGUAAACCGACACAGGUGGAUGAGGAGAGAAUCCUAAGGCCGACGGAAGAAGCAUUGUUAAGGAAUUCGGCAAAAUGACCCCGUAACUUCGGGAGAAGGGGUGCCUGCGAGAGCAGGCCGCAGAGAAUAGGCUCAAGCAACUGUUUAGCAAAAACACAGGUCUAUGCGAAACCGAAAGGUGAAGUAUAUGGGCUGACGCCUGCCCGGUGCUGGAAGGUUAAGAGGAGAGGUUAGCGUAGGCGAAGCUUUGAAUUUAAGCCCCAGUAAACGGCGGCCGUAACUAUAACGGUCCUAAGGUAGCGAAAUUCCUUGUCGGGUAAGUUCCGACCCGCACGAAAGGCGUAAUGAUUUGAGCACUGUCUCGACAAUGCAUCCGGUGAAAUUGAAGUACCAGUGAAGAUGCUGGUUACCCGCGCCAGGACGGAAAGACCCCAUGGAGCUUUACUCCAGUUUGAUACUGGGAUUCGGUACUGCAUGUACAGGAUAGGUGGGAGACGAAGAAGGAUGGACGCCAGUCUGUCCGGAGUCGCUGUUGGGAUACCACCCCUGUAGUACUGGGUUUCUAACCAGUUGCCAUGAUCUGGUAAUGGGACAAUGUCAGGCGGGGAGUUUGACUGGGGCGGUCGCCUCCGAAAGGGUAUCGGAGGCGCUCAAAGGUUCCCUCAGAAUGGUUGGAAACCAUUUGAAGAGUGCAAAGGCAGAAGGGAGCUUGACUGCGACACCGACGGGUGGAGCAGGUACGAAAGUAGGACUUAGUGAUCCGGUGGUAUAAAGUGGGAUUGCCAUCGCUCAACGGAUAAAAGCUACCCUGGGAUAACAGGCUUAUCACUCCCAAGAGUUCACAUCGACGGAGUGGUUUGGCACCUCGAUGUCGGCUCAUCGCAUCCUGGGGCUGUAGCAGGUCCCAAGGGUUGGGCUGUUCGCCCAUUAAAGCGGUACGCGAGCUGGGUUCAGAACGUCGUGAGACAGUUCGGUCCCUAUCCGGCGCGGGCGGAGGAUAUUUGAGAGGAGCUGUCCUUAGUACGAGAGGACCGGGAUGGACGGACCACUGGUGUAUCUGUUGUCGACCAACGGCAUGGCAGAGUAGCCAAGUCUGGAAGGGAUAAACGCUGAAGGCAUCUAAGCGUGAAGCCCCCCUCAAGAUGAGAUAUCCCUCCUAUAAGGAGUAAGACCCCUUGAAGACUACAAGGUAGAUAGGGCAGAGGUGGAAGCAUGGCAACAUGUGGAGCUGACUGUUACUAAUAGGUCGAGGGCUUAGU